CCUCGGCUGGACGCCUGCACCCUUCACCAUACCCCUGGGAAGCAGGUAUCAUUCCUGUCACAUCUGGCACCGGGAGACCGACUCGGAGAUCACAGCUCUCCAAAGCUUAUGCUCUUGACAGUAACCCUUAGCUGCCUGACUCCACGAGACAUUUAAAGAGCUGGCCUGCUUGCUGUGAGGACAGUGGUUCCUGCUGGGGUCCAAACCCUGAACACAGAAUGGAGUCGCCCUGACUUUGACAUCCCGCAGCUUCCCCAGAGCUGGGCUUGUUUGUUCUACCUCUCUGAACUUUGGCUUACUCAUCUGCAAAUACGGUCCAAGAAGUAUGCCUUGAGGAGAUUAGGAUUGUUACAGCAAGAACGUGGAGAGAAAGAAAAAGUUACUACUCAGCUGGUGACAUCCACGGCGCUGAGGCAAGAUAUGUGUGUCUGCGGCGUGUGGAAGCUGGGCUUUGAUGAGAAAGGCUUUCUGACGGGUAGAGGAGGGGUAAUUGGUGGGACCACACCUACGGUGCAUCUUACAAGGGUACA